UUAGGAUGAACCGAUUCUGGCUACGGCGUCGUCUACCGGUAAUCGCAGCACCUCCGUCCACCGUCAAAGCAGCUCCUCCUGUUGAUUCAUUCAGCAUUUCUGUUCAGUCAACAGUCCUGCCAAGAUCUCUAAAAUUUUCUAUGUUGGUUUGUUAUAAUUCGAUACAAUUUUUAGAUGUGGGAGAAUUGGAAGCAUUGUAUUCUUGAAGAUUUAGGGUCUGUAUCCGCUUAUAGCACAAGUAGUUAUCAAAAUAAGCACUUAUGAAUAAGCUUGCAUAAGCUAAUUUUAUAACGAAAGAUAAAAUUAAGCUCUUGUAUUACCAAACAACAGUUUUGUUUGGCUUUGCAAAAUACACAAGAAUCUUUCAAUAAAGCUCAUGUAUCAUUCUAGAGAUGGUACAUUUAAUCACUUUUUUCUUCUUCAUUAUGCUCAACAGAAUCAUUGUUAACAUCAAUGCUAUUCCGCAGACUGAAAAUGAGACCAAUAUUCCUUAACAAGCUUUCUGAACAACGAUUCUUCUCUCAUCAUCAAGCUCAUUGGCUCGUCAUACUCCACCAACUUUCCUGGAAAUACAGUCAAAUUGGCUUUUCAUUCUUCCAAGAAAUCAACAGGGGAAAUGAUUGUUUCACAAGCUUACCCUACUUAGUAUCCUUCCCAAUGGUGUAGAGUCAUAAAAAGACAUCGGUGCUCGAAAGAGGGAGUUCAUCAACUGUAAAAAUAUAUAUUUUGAAGAAUGAAGACCCAAAGCAACUAUACAGGAACUUCUGAUCAACAUGAAAAGUAUUGAAGAUGCUCCAAUCCAGAAAUAAACUAAAAUCAACUGCAACGUGCUGACACGAGGAUUAUCAACAUUAGCAGCCAUCCACGAGUUUUGCAGUAUCUGAGAAACCAAAAAAAUAAGGUGACAGAACGAAGCCCCGAAGAAGAAAAUGUAGCCUUUCAUCUUAUUCAGAUAUUCUUGAGAAAAAGUAACAUUCGCAAGCUGGUUUGAACUAGCAGUAACCUUGUGAGCAUUGACAAGGUCCUGGAAUUCUUGGCUUGUUGUCAAUAGCUCUUGAUAUGAACCAGCUUGUAGAAUUACCCCAUCUGACAUCAACUGUAAAUAGAAGAGAUGAAAAAUGGAGAUUAUAAAAUACUACAAGAUCAACGAAGACGUCAUCAUUGCUUUGAGUUCUGGUGCCUCGAGGAAAUUACCGAUCCGAGCAAAUGCAACUUUUGCUUGAAUGGAUACUGCAAUAACAUCUGGGAUGCUUGUAAUCAGCUCUUGUACGAGGCGUAAAGUUGCGACAAAAGUGAAAACAUUACUUGCAUGCAAAGGAAUUUUCAGCAAGUAGCAUGCUAGAAAAGAAGCAGCUGAUACAAGCAUUGGUGAGGUCCAAAAGAGAAAGACAACACAUGUCUUUCUUAGUAGAACCGCAAAUAGCAAUUUCAGUUCCGCAUUUCUUAACUUUUCUAUCGCGUUUUUAAAAUGAGUUUCCCAUGCAUAUAGCUUUAGCACUUUCAUAUUCACUAGAGCUUCAGAACUAGCUUUCAAUCUUUCAUCUUGUGCCACCAUAAGUUUG